rnacentral:rRNA from 1 species
CGGACGGGUGAGUAAUGUCUGGGAAACUGCCCGAUGGAGGGGGAUAACUACUGGAAACGGUAGCUAAUACCGCAUAAUGUCUACGGACCAAAGCGGGGGACCUCCGGGCCUCUUGCCAUCGGAUGUGCCCAGAUGGGAUUAGCUAGUAGGUGGGGUAAUGGCUCACCUAGGCGACGAUCCCUAGCUGGUCUGAGAGGAUGACCAGCCACACUGGAACUGAGACACGGUCCAG